rnacentral:tRNA from 1 species
GGCUUCGUAGCUUGGUGGAAAUAAGCGCCCGUCUAGCGAAUUGGGAGUUGCGGGUUCAAUUCCCAUCGGAGCUG